UUUUUUUCAGUGGCCACCCAACGGAAGAUAGUAUUAACAUACAAAAAGAUUUGAGACAGAUGCCUCAUAGUCCCAUACUCAAUGUGGUUUACGAAGGCUGGAUGGUUCGACACGGUCGAAGGAAGAUCGGACGGUCGUUUAUUCAUAUGAGGUACUUUGUGCUCGAGACUAAACAACUUUCUUACUACAAGACAAAACCUCAGGGCAAUACGACUCCACUGAAUACCCUUCUAUUAGAUGGGAAUUGCAGGGUUGAGGACAAAGGAUUAAAGACACACAACGGACAUGUG